UCGACGAGGUCCAUCCUUCGGGAGAAACCUAGUGGCGAACGGGUGAGUAACACGUGAGAAACCUGCCCCGAAGACCGGGAUAACCCUCCGAGAGGAGAGCUAAUACCGGAUACCCCCACCGAACCGCAUGGUUUGGUGAGGAAAUGGAUUCCGCUUCGGGAGGGUCUCGCGGCCUAUCAGCUAGUUGGUGGGGUAACGGCCCACCAAGGCAUCGACGGGUAGCUGGUCUGAGAGGACGAUCAGCCACACUGGGACUGAGACACGGCCCAGACUCCUACGGGAGGCAGCAGUGGGGAAUCUUGCGCAAUGGGCGAAAGCCUGACGCAGCAACGCCGCGUGGGGGAUGAAGGCUCUCGGGUUGUAAACCCCUUUCAGCAGGGACGAAUCAAGACGGUACCUGCAGAAGAAGCCCCGGCUAACUACGCGCCAGCAGCCGCGGUAACACGUAGGGGGCAAGCGUUGUCCGGAUUUAUUGGGCGUAAAGAGCUCGUAGGUGGCUGAGUAAGUCGGGUGUUAAAUCCCCAGGCUCAACCUGGGACACCACUCGAUACUGCUCUGGCUAGAGUCCGGUAGGGGAGCGUGGAAUUCCUGGUGUAGCGGUGAAAUGCGCAGAUAUCAGGAGGAACACCAGCGGCGAAGGCGGCGCUCUGGGCCGGUACUGGCACUGAGGAGCGAAAGCGUGGGUAGCAAACAGGAUUAGAUACCCUGGUAGUCCACGCCGUAAACGUUGGGCACUAGGUGUGGGGUCUAUUCAACGGACUCCGUGCCGUAGCUAACGCAUUAAGUGCCCCGCCUGGGGAGUACGGC
rnacentral:rRNA from 1 species